rnacentral:lncRNA from 1 species
CCAAUUUUUAGGCCUAUUUUUAAUGGAUUUUUCAACCCUUUCAGCUGUGUAUAUUGACUGUAUAUCACAGUCUUUCUCGUCCACGUUUUGGAUGUAUACAUGUUGUAUACCAACUUGCAUAGUUGUUUACUUGCUUCUUCUCCCGUUUUUGCCCUUUUUGAGCUUGUAUAUCAGCUUUCCAGACCUGUAUAUGACGUAUAUCUGCUGUAUAUAUUUGUAUACAGCCUUGAGCUUCUUGAUUUCAGAUUUUUGGACUUGAAGGGAGCUCGGACUCGAUGACUCGGGCAUCUUUGGCCAUCAAGGAUAUGCGGGAAGGUAGAUUCCAAUGGACUCAUGCCAAUGUCACAUGAAAAGGAAAACAAUAACAGAAAUUAAUAGCAUGAAAGAACAAUUACAGAAUAAGCUUUGCCACCAAUUACUUCAUCAAUACAUGAAUCUGAUAAACAUGCAUUUAGUGAUCAUACAUACGAAAAUGCUUAAGGGGAAGGAGUAAAUUUUUCAACCACAAUCAAAUAUAUCACAUCAAGACACAACCUUCCAUAGAGCAUAUGUCAAAAUUCUCAACCGACUCAAAAUUGGACACUUUACUCAUCAAUUUCAAAAGGAGAUAACGAGCAAAAAGGGGACAUUAAAACAAAGGAUCACAAUAGCUGCCAUAGCUGACCCAUCCAUAUUUGAAAGAAUUAAUUAGCUAUCAAUAAGAAGAGAUACGUCUAAGUGCAUAUCAACCACACUUCUUGGAUAAUUUAGGCGGACACAGGGACAAGAAAUACACCAAGAAGAAAGUAGAAGGAAAUUGAUUUUCAUUAACUAGUUGUGACUCAGGCACGACAUUUUGAAGAAAGAAAAGCAGCAACAACAUUAUUUGACUCAUCCCCCAUCUUAAUACUUAAUAACAUACUUUAGUUAAGAGCAGAUAGUAAUUACCGAGGCUAAAACAUUCUUAAAAGCAUAUUUCACUCAGGCAGGCAUAAAACUAGUGAAACCAAAUUAUUCCCACUAAUCAGGGAAAAGGAUAAACAUAUGAUUCUAAUUUUUGCAAUACUAGGACACACAAAAAAAGAUCCAUUCCCCACUUUCUAACCCAUGGAUUCCCCGAUUUCGAUCUAAGAAGUGAAAAGAUGUACCUUGUAGAUCACUGUUAAUUCCAGAUUCAACUAAUCAAAAGGGGAAAAGUGUAGCUUGAGCCUUGGCUUUCAUCGCAAGUCAGAUAGAAUUAAAAGGAUACUUUGAGAACAGUGUGAGGGUAUGGAGAUGAAUCUACCCAUUCUCAAAUUAUUUCCUUCAUCUUUCUUAAUUGUUGUGAAGAUACAAAAAAACAAUCUGUGGAGAAAGUUCUUUUGCACCUAAAUGAAACUUUUCAACAACCUAUUUUCAUAUUGUGAAGCCAAAGGGCCACUCGAAGUCCAAUGCACGUCAUUCAAUGACUUUAAACAACUAACAAAAAAACGUAAGGCAUGAACAAAUGGCAGAGUAUAUGAUAUAGGUACUGAUCAAGCAGUAAACAGGUUAAACAAAUGAGAAAUGCAGACCAAUGCGGGAUAUUGAAUGGACUACAAGUUCUUUAAGUAAUGCUUAACAAGAAACUCGACAAAUUAGCAAAUUAUUACACGUUAACAGAUUAUUACACAACAUAAUCAAGUCGGAUGAAUAAACAAAUUUGACAGUAUUGGACUAAAACUACAACAACAACAACAAACCCAGUUAUCCUCACAUAGUGGGGUCUGGGGGGUAAGAUGUACGCAGUCCAUACCACAACUUCAGGAGAAGUAGAAAGGAUGUUUCCGAUGGAUCCCCGGCUCAAGACAAGGAGUAAUAAACAACUACUUAAUAAAGCAUGGAACAAGAUGUCAAGACAUAAAUACACCACCCACAAGGAAUAAUAAACAAAGAAUAGUAAACACAUUCGUAAUAAAGCAUGCAACAAAGUGUCCUAGCAAGAAUAAUACAUCUACCAAGUAAUGCCAUACCCCAACGACUUAAACUGGCACUAGCCUUCUACCCUAAUCCGCGUCCUCCAGAUCUUCCUAUCUAGGGUCAUGUCCUCAAUGAGAUGUAACUGCUCCAUGUCCCGCCUGAUCACCUCUCUCCAGUAUUUCUUCGUCCUACCCCUACCCCUACCACUACCUCACCUGAAACCAUCCAAAGCAAGCUUCUCACACCUACGAACCGGGGCAUCUAUGCCUCUCUUCAUCAUAUGCCCAAACCAUCUCAAUCGGACUUCCCGCAUCUUGCCCUCCACCGAAGCCACUCCGACCUUUUCCCAAAUAGUCUCAUUUCGAACUGUAUCACCCCAAUUGGACUAAAACUAAACAAUGUAAAAAUACUAAAUUAGUAUUUUAGAUGCAUCAGUAAAUCCAAAGAAAGAAAUAAAAUUAAAUGAUAACCACAUAACAAAAACAACAACGUUAACUCAACAUAACGAACACAAUCAACUAUUUCAGAAUUCUAUCACCGUCACAGCCCUCUACAACAAAUAAUCCCAACAUUCUCACCUAAUACCUUUCAAUAAAAACAGUAGAAAUAUAUAUAGAAAAUGAUUUUGGAGAUCAAUUUUACUCUUUGUCAAUCUGGGAAGUGUAAUUCGAGGGGCGAUUUAGGUAUUUUCAAAAAGAGGAUAAGGUUUGCCAACACAUUUUUUACGAAUUGAUACAAAGAAUUUUGAAUAAUUGAAGGAAUAAUCUUGUAGGAAUGAUACCUGGGCAGAUUAUAGAAGCCUCCGAAUUCGUGUUCGUACAAAAAUGUGUGAUAACCACAUGCUUUUUGGAAUUUGAGGCAUCUUUGCGUUACACUGGUUGUUGACGUGUUGGUGUUGUUUGUAUGCAUUUAAGUUGUUGUAAUCAGGUUUCGCCAUUGUUAUUCUGUGAUUACACUGGUUAAGGGUGGAAGAAGGAAAUUGGGUCGGGUCUUGGGGCGAUGAGUUUUGGGCUUGGGGCGACUAGGUAUUCAAGUGGACUGCUGGGUCAGGUAAUUGAUUAAUUAAAGGAAAAACUACAUAGCAUACUUAAGUAUUAAAUUACAAAAAAUAGCAACAUUUUAUCCUAAUUAUAUUAUGUACCAUUUGUAGCAUUAUUUUAACUGGUCUCCUACUUUUUGCCCCCUAAGAAAGUUACUGUGCUAAAAUUCCCCUUUUCACGCCAUCCUUAUUUUUCUUUCCUUAAUUUAAAAUUUUUAUUCCUUUUCUUUCGCCAUUAACGAUCUCAUCCACUUCAAAUUUUGUUCUUCUUGCACGAUUCUAGCACGAUCUGUGAUAAUGAUUUACUUUCUCUAUUUCAGGUAACUAUUAAUCGCAUAUUGCAUAUUAGCGGUUUCUUUUUUAUUCUACUGUAAUUCAACUGAAAAUCAGAUUUUAAGGGUUUUAUGUUUUAAUGGAUGAACAUACAGCAAAAACACCAACAAAUAGCGGUAUACGAAAUAUGAAUGUAGAGUUUGAUUAUGCACAAUCUUUUAGUCUUGGGUUAACUCAAGAAGAUUUAGUUAAAGUUGUUGUAAAUCCUAUACAGUUGAAGAAAUCUGGGAGAUCGAAGGAGAUUAGGUCGAAGUUUCGCAACGACCCAGUGAAGAUCAGUGAAAUUUUGAAAAUAAAAAGGGUUGAAGAAGGAGCAAAAAUUUUAAAAACGGUACGAAAAGAAAAGGAAAAUUGAAGAAAUUGAAAACGAUGUUCAAAAAUCUUAUGCUGAUGAUUCUGAAGAAGAUAGUGAGGAUGGAGUAUUUUUUUGUUUGUAAAUAUAUUUUUUUGACUGUUAAGUAUUGUGUUGUUCUAAAUAGGACAAUAAAGAUAUUAUCAAAGUUGUGAGUUAAAGAUAUAGGGCAAUAAGUACUGUUAAGUAUUGUGUUAACUACUUAUGAACUGUCUAUAGACUAUAUGUAUUUUUAGUAUAAUUGAAAUGUAUUUUUCAGUAUUGGUUGCAUUUUUUAUCUGCUUAAAAUACAUAUGCUUGUUUAUAUGAAUUUUUUUCUUAUCCGACUGUUCUUGUUCAGAUCAAGAAAUUAGCUGAGAUUAUCCCUUUGUGUCUCCAAGCUUGUGAUUUCUACAAUAAAAAAGGAAUUGAUCUUCAAAAUCAUUCAAGAUACAAAGACAAAGAUUAAUCAGAUCUGUUUGAUAUGAUAUUUGAAGAGAAUUUGUCUCAAUAACCGAGUGAAAGUUUGUAAGUUUUUAAUUUACAUAUACCAAAAUUGAAUGUUUGUACAAAAUAUAUUUUACUUAUAAAUAAAUAUUUUUUUCCUUGUUUUUGUAGGGAUUGUGGUCUCUUUAUGAUUACAUAUGCAGAGUGUAUUUCUUAUAGUCACAAAGUUAUUGCGAUUGAGUUCGAUCCCAACGCACUCCGUACAAGAUAUGCUGCACUUUUGUGGGACGAUGAGAUCCGAAAACAAUAAGCAAAUGCUCAUAGUGAUGUCGAAGUGCCCUUGAGGCCUGCAAGGCAAAGUAGAAUAACUAGUGUUACUGAAGUUUUUGAUGUAUGAUGAUUGAUGGAUUUAUUACUUUGUAUAGUUAGAGAAACUGGUGUACGGAUGUAGGUUCUGAUUGUACAAACUAAUUUUUAUGUUUUGAAGUUGUUCUAAUUGUAGUUUAUAAUAGUACUUAUUUUUAACUGAAUGAAAUUAAUUCUGAUUUGAAUUGGGUCUAAUUUUGAUUUGAAUUAAAGUUUAAUUUGAGUAUUUUAUGCAGUUAUAUAUUUUACUGUGAGAUUUAGUUAAAAAAAAAAUACAUAUGUAGUGUUCAUAUUAUGCUUAAAAAUACGUAUGCAGUAUCAAUCAAAAGUUUUUAUCCUAAAAAUACAUAUGCAGUGUUAAGAUUAAGCAUUUUUAAAAAUACAUCUGGACCAUAUCUAAUAUAUUUUUAAAUAUGUUUUCAUUUAUUAUCAAUAUAAAUGCGAAUUUGAAUUAAAUAUAAACUUGUGUUUUUUACACCUUGAUCAUAACUAAUAUAUAUUUUAAUCUGUGUUCAUUUAUUAUCAUUAUAAAUGAGAAUUUGAAUUAAAGAUAAAUUUGAGUUUUUUAUGCAGUUCUACAUUUUAUUGUGAGAUUUUAGUUACAAAAGAUACAUAUGUAGUGUUGAUAUUUUGCUUAAAAAUACAUAUGGAUUAUACGUCAAAAUAUUUUUUAGCAUAAAAAUACAUAUGCAGUGUUGAUAUUUUGCUUAAAAAUAUACAUGCAUUAUACAUCAAAUGUAUUUACCCUAAAAAUACAUAUACAGUGUUAAAAUUAAGCAUUUCAAAAAUACACCUUGAUAACAACUAAUAUAUAUUUUAAUAUGUGUUCAUUUAUUAUCAUUAUAAAUGAGAAUUUGAAUUACAGAUAAAUUUGAAUUACAGUUGAAGUUGUAAUGUGGAUCGGAGAUAAUCAUCUCAACCGUAUCCAUCUCAAAUACAUCUAAUGUAGUAGUUUCUUCAGAAACUACCAAAGCUCCUUCGUUGUAUGCACUUAAUACUGCUUGAAUGUUGUUAUAUCAGACUCUUCUUUCAGCAACACACACAGAUGAACUUGCAAAGUUACUCCCUACGACUUUCUCCAAAAUGCUUACAUAUAAAGGAAGAUAAUUUAUGUCUUGUAUAGCUUUUUUCUGCAACAUAAAAAUCUUUAAACCCAUAUCAUUGUGUAUUUGUAUUUGCCCUGUAUUACCAGUGAUUUGAUACUCCAUUAGAAUACGUUUGUUGGUUAAGUUCGCAUUUAAAUGUGAUGACAAAACAUCAUGCAGCUCAAUGAAUGAUGAUGUUGUGCUCAAAAGUAUAUCAUCAGUGACUUAAUCUUCGCAGUUUUUUCCAUACGUCCACCUACCAGAGUGCUUCACAAGAACUGCUAUGCUUCCCAUUUCUACAUGAUUUAACCAAAAAUAAACAAAUAUACAUAUUUAUCAGAUGUCACUUGUUUCACCACACACUUAUCGGCUUUAAGUGCAAACAAGUUUACACAACCAACAUCUCCAUUACAAAUACAACAAAAAUUUACAACAAAAUACAGAAACUACCGAAUCGAACACAAGUAAAACAGAUAUAAAGGAUAUUUUCAUGUACACUUUUCAGCUUUAAGUGCAAACAAAGUUCCACAACAUAUGUAUUUUUAGGCUAAAAAUAUAUUUAAACAACAUUUGUUUAAAGUAAAAUACAAACACAGAAAAAGUUUCUAACCAAAUACAUAAACUACUGAAUCGAACACAAGUAAAACAGAUAUAAAAGAUCUUUUCAUAUACAUUUUUCAACUUUAAGUGCAAACAAAGUUUCACAGCAUAUGUAUUUUUAGGCUAAAAAUACAUUUAAACAACAUUUAUUUAAAUUAAAAUACAAACACAGAAAAAGUUUCCAACCAAAUACAUAAACUACUGAAUCGAACACAAGUAAAACAGAUAUAAAAUAUCUUUUCAUAUAUACUUUUCAGCUUCAAGUGCAAACAAAGUUACACAACAUAUGUAUUUUUAGGCUUUAAAUACAUUUAAACAAUAUUUGUUUAGAGUAAAAUCUAAACAUAGAAAAAGUUUCCAACCAAAUACAGAAACUACUGAAUCGAACACAAGUAAAACAGAUAUAAAAGAUCGUUUCAUAUAUACAGUUAUACUCUUAAAUUUCGACAAGCAAAACAAAAAAAAUAGAAUUUCAUCACAUUGAAAAGCUAAUAUUCGAUCAUUCAUUGAUCUAGGAGUUUCGAAAAUAAUUGAAUAAACUUCAAAUCUAAAUUUGUUUAUAAUAUAUUCACAAUCGAUUAUACAACAAACGAUCCCCAAAACAAUAGUUGAAUUUUGAAGUUUUAAUAUCUGAAACAACUGUUAAGAUGAAAUUUGCAACAGAUUCUUGAAUUCCGAAGUUUUUUAUUCUAUAUGUUGAAUUUACUGCUGCAUUGCUUCUAACUCGAAAUUCAUUUACAAAUUUUUCAAAAACAAAUUAACGAGACAACAGAAACUAGAUAGGCACAUCAGUAAUGGUUAAAAAAAAUCAAACCAAAAAACAAUAAUGAUUAUGUACCUUAAACUGUAGUAAUGGUUGAAUUUCAACUGAUUGUUGAAUUCAAACAAAUUGAACUGAAGAAUCUACAAUUAAAUUUGAUUCAAAGAAAUUAAUGCAUCAUUUUGAAACUGCUGUUGAUUUCGAAGAAGAUUCAGUCGAAUUUGAUUCAACAACAACAAUGGUUGAAUUUCAGAAACACGGUUGGAUUAGAACAAAUUGCUCAGAAAAAGAUUUAGCAGAUUUUGAUAUUGAUUUUUUUUUUUCCAAUGAACUUGUUAAUGGAAAAAAGCUGAAAUUUGAAUUGUGUUUAGUGAUGUCAACAUAUAACGAAAAUAACGUUUUGUAAGAGGUUUAAAUGGAAAAGGAAUCUAUAAAUUUAAUUGAUUGGUAAUUAUACCAUAUUUAGCUCAACCAAUUUCAGUUAUUAAGGGCAGUAAAUUUAUUGUAUAUGUAUUUUUAUAGCAACAGUUUUUAAAAAUACAAAAUACAAGUUGCUACAAAAUGUAAUUAUGAAACUGUUGCUAUAAAACUAAUAAUUAGAAUCUUAAGUAUGCUAUUUCGGAAUUUUGCCCUUAAUUAAAUGAGGGGAGGGUAAAAAAUUGGUCAUUUAUAAAAUAUCCGAAUAAGAUUAAAAUUCAGUCGAGUUUUUUUAAAUUUUAACCAAAUUGAAUAUCAAUUGGUCAAUUGUAUUGCAAUUGUAAAAAAAGGCAGCCAGGUGAACUAAAGCUACCGCUAUGCGCAGUGUCCGGGGAAGGGCCCCACCACAAGGGUGUAUCGUACGCAUCCUUACCUUGCAUUUCUGCUAAAGGCUGUUUCCAAGGCUUGAACCCAUGACCUCCUAGUCACAUGGCAACAACUUUACCAGUUACUCUAAGGCUCCCCUUCUGUAUUGCGAUUGUGGUCAAUUUAAUUUUAAUUAUAGCCAAACUCAAUAAAUUGACAAAAUUGAAUCAUAGCCUAAAACAAAUUAACGACUGAUUCAAUCUCGAGUUUCUUAGUUUAAUGAAAUCAAACACAUAUUUUUUUGAAUAAUUCACUUUUAAGAGCAAAUCAAAUUUGAAACCCAAAAUCUAUCCUAUUUGAACAAAUUUUCAGGAUGAAUUAAAUCCAAUUUACUAAGUCACAAAAUUAUAUAAUAUCAUAUACAUGAAUACAGAAAUGCAUAAUAGUUACUUAACUAACAAAAUAGACCCAAAUAAAUAUUUCAGAAUGCUUUUAUCCGAAUAAUAUAAUUAUUUUAAUUUGUUUAAAAUGGGAGCAACUCGAUAUUAGACCUAGUUAUGGUGGGCAAAAAUUAGGUGUCAACAACUGCUCCCUUUGGGUAGGGUGGAUGCAAGUAACCUUGGGCAAAGGGAGUUUGACGUUUCUAAUUUUGUUCGACCAUAAAUUUAUUUCUUAAAAGAGGUUGGCUAUUGCACGAGUAUCAAGAAUUAUGGUCGUCCCUCGGUAUGAGGUUUCCAUAUAUUUUAGGUUUCAUGAGAAUUCAGGUCAUCUGUAGUUCAUAACAUUUAAUUUUUAAAUACGAUUUUCAAAGAAUUCACAAGCUAUCCCAAUUUUUAAAUUUUAGUAAAACUGAAAAGCCAGAGAAUAAGAGGAUUGGGGAGAGGUUGGAAUACAAUCGAGUUUUCAACAUAGAGUCCAGCCUACGUAUCCCCUGGGAUUUAGGAAAUCAGACUGCUUGUAGUUUGACAUGAUCGGUAAAAAAGAUAGUCUUUUAUUUUAGACUAUCUUUGGCUUGGGAUGAGUGACAAGUUGUUUGAUCUAUGGAAAAGAGGUUUGUAACCUCUAAAUCAUGGUGUAGCUCUUCACAUCCAUAGGUAAGAAUUCACCUGGACAUAAUUCCCAAAGCUCUGAGUGGAGCUAUGAAAGAACUUUUUGGUAGAACUCCCCAAAACGACAUUGAGUUUUCAAAAAUCCUUCAUUGAAUGUCAGACAUAGUUGAGUCUCAAUAGAAAGACGUUCAUUGAGCUAGUAUAUGACAUGACUGGCAGAGAUUUUAUAAAAACUUUUGCACAAGUUCUUGAAACUAAGUUUUCAAAAAUCAAAAUUAGUUUUGAAAAUCUAUAUACAUUUUCUACUUAACUAGUUUUACCUAACAUCUAUUGAAAUGGGGAGUCAGAGAGAAAGUCCAAAUAUGACGAAACAUUCGAAAGAUGGAAAGGAGUAAACCAAAGAUCAAUGGAGGUAACAUAGCAUAGUUUCACUCAAAACUAACAUUUUUUUAUGGAUGCAGGGAUCAAUGCACAAAAUGGGGAUCUUCAUUAAAAAUCCCCAAGAGAAUCUAGAACUACACCAAAGCAUAUAAUGCUCAAGAACGGUAUUUUUGGGUAGCCCCCAAAGAUAGGUUAAAUUACCCAUUUAUCAAGGACCUUUUGAUUUAUCUAUAUCAUUUCAAGAGAUCGUGGAUGACAAAUAAAUAUGUCUUAUCCUAUUUAUGAAUAUUUUAUUUAGAACUUUUCUAAAAAUAGUCUCUAUCAAAAGAAAAUAUAUGUAUACUAAAUAUUUACCCUGAGCACAUAUGUAUUCAAAGGAUCUGGCAAUAAGGACGCAAUCAAAAAGAUCAUUCAAUAGGAGGAAGAGCAGAAAAGUCAUCAUCAAAUUUUCCCUGAGGCAAAAUGAAGAUACUCGAGUGGUACCCAAAAAGGUAUUUUACCCAUUUGCUUACAUCCGGUGGAUUUAUUAUUUAAAUAUUUUUUUUAAAAAGAUGAAUAGCAGACUAUGCCAUUCAGAUUAUUUGUUUAAACUAUCAUAAAGUUUGACUGUGGUCGCCAGCGAGAGCAACAUUGUGUGUGCUAACUAUCUACCUUGAGUACAAGUACAUGUAGAAAGCAAGAACCCGGAGAAACAGACCUAGGUGGAGGUUCUCUUUAAACCACUAAGAGGGUUGUUGCAUCCCAGUAUAUUCCAUUGCAUUCCAUCGACGAGAUAGCCAUGUCGAGAGGGUCAUUUCAUUCUAUUGAUGCAGCUUAUAGAGAACCCUCGAAUCUUUAAUUUGGUAAUCUCGCAUAUUCUCCGGUAAAAAUUUAGUUGUGACUUAUGGAUUACCUUCGGAUGAUUGAUUUUUGGAUAACCUUGCAUACUAUCCAGUUAGGAUGCUUUUGUGGCUUACCGAUGACCUGUGGACUAUUAACCAUGGGUAAUCUCUCACACUAUCCUAUCUCAAAUAAUGUGACUUAUAGAUGACCCUUGGAUUGUAAUUUUUUGGGAAGUCCAAUAUGUUAUUCUCUUUUAGAUAACGACUUAAAGACGUCCUUCAAAUCAUGUGCUUUUGAUGCAUUCAGUACUGAUUAAUAAAAUGCUGAAAUAUCCUCGACGCUGGGAUAUAUCACCUUUGCGUGGUCGACAGAUAUAAAAUGCUGAGAUAUCCUCGACCCCAGAUUAUGCUAUCUUCAUGUGGUAAACGGAUACAGGCGCUCCAAAACAUAUUCCAAAGCCAGACCCUAUCAUUUUGAAUAGUGAGUAAUUACGGAGAUGUAGUUGAAUGGUAUGAUGGCCCUCUUGGAAAUGAAAUAGCAUGGAAUGAAAUGACCCUCUCAAUAAUAGCAUGAGAGGAAAUGACCCUCUCGGCGGUAGAAUAAAAUGUCUUUCGUGGAAUGGGCCUCUAGAUGAUGAAAUAAAAUAACUCUCUCGGCAUGGCCUUCUUGGUGAUGGAAUGAAAUGACCCUCUCGACAGUGAAGUACAAUGGAAUGUAUUGGGAUACAAUGACUCUAUCUACUAUUCAAAGAGAACCUCUACCCAGGUCUCUUUCUCAGCAUUUUUGCUUUCUAUAUGUACCUAUACUCAUGGUAGAUAGUUAGUAGACAUAAUCUCUCUCUCAUAGGCGAACACAAUCAAAAUUUAUGAUAGAAUAAAUGUCUAAUCAAAUGGCUUAGUCUGCUAUUCAUUUUUUUCUUUUUCGAAAAGUAUUUAAUCAAUAAAACGGAUGUAAACAAAUAGGUAAAAUUCUUUUAAGGAUACCACUCGAGUACCAUUUGCUUCACCUCAUGGAAAAUUUGAGGAUGCCUUUUUUUGUCCUUCCUCCUAUUGAAUGAUCCUUUUGAUUGCUUCCUUAUUAUCAACUCUUUUGAAUGCAUCUUUGCACAAGGUAAAUACAGAGUUGCUUAUGCUAGUGACUAUUUUUAGAAAAAUUUUAAAUAAAAUAUUCAUAAAGAGGAUAAGAAGUCUUUGUCUGUCAUCCAUGAUCUCUUGAAAUAAGAUAGAUAAAUCAGAAGGUCCUUGAUAAAUAAUUGAACACGUCUUUCGGGGCUACCUAAAAAUAUCAUUCUUGAGCAUUAUAUGCUUUGGUGUAGUUCUUGAUUCUCUUGGGGAUUUUUAUUAAGAUCCCCAUUUUGUGCAUUGAUCCUUGCAUCAACAAAAAAUGUUAGUUUUGAGUGAAACUACUCCGUGUUACCUCGUUCGAUCUUUGGUUUGCUUUUUGCCAUCUUUCUUGUGUUUCGUCAUAUUUGGACUUCCUCCCUAGAUCCCUAUUUCAAUAUAUGUUAGGUAAAAACUAUUUAAGUAGAAAAUGUAUAUAGAUUUUCAAAACUAAUUUUGAUUUUUGAAAACUUAGUUUCAGAAACUUGUGCAAAAGCUUUUAAAAAAUCCUUGCCAGUCAUGUCAUGUACUAGCUCAACGAACGUCUUCCUCUUAAGGUUUGACUAUGUCUAACAUUCAAUGAAAGAUUUUUGAAAACUCAAUGUCGUUGCUGGGGAGUUCUACCAAAAAGUUCUUAUCAUAGCUGGAGAUUUUAGUUGAAAUUUUGAGGAUUUUAUCAUAAUUUCUCCCCAAGUUUGAUAUUGUUUGAGAUAAUUUUCAUUAACCAGUUGGGAGUCAGACACGACAUUUUGAAGAAAGAAAAGCAGUAACAACAUUAUUUGACUCACACCCCUACCUUUAUACUUAAUAGCAUAGUUUAGUUAAGAAUAUUAAUUACCGAGGCUAUAAACAUUCUUAAAAGCAUAUUUCACCCAGGUAGGCAUACACAUAAAACUAGUGAAACCAAAUUAUUCUCACUAAUCUGGGAAAAAGGAUGAACAUAUAAUUCUAAUUUUUGCAAUACUUGGACAUAAAAAAAAAGAUUCAUUCCCCACUUUCUAACCUAUGGAUUCCUAAAUUUCCAUCUAAAAAGUGAAAAGAUGGACCUUGUUGAUCACUGUUAGUUCUAAUUUCAACUAAUCAAAAAAGAAAGAGUGUAGCUCGAGUCUAGGAUUUCAUUACAAGUGAGAUAGAAUUAAAAAGAUACUUUGAGAACGGUGUGAGGUUAUGGAGAUGAAUUUACCCAUUCUCAAAUUCUUUCUUUCAUCUUUCUUAAUUAUUGGAUACAAAAAAAUAAUGUGGGAGAAAGUUCUUUUGCACCUAAAUGAAACUUUUCAACGACCUAUUUUGGUAUUGGGAAUCCAAAGGGAUACUCAAAGUCCAAUCCUUAUCAUUCAAUGACUUUAAACAACUAACAAAAAACAUAUAAGGGACGAACAAAUGGCAAGGUAUAUGAUAUAGGUACUGAUUAAGUAGUAAACAGGUAAAAUAAAUUAGAAAUUCAAACCACGAGGGAUAUUAAAUGGACUACAAGCUCUUUAAGUAAUGCUUGAUAAUGAACUCUACAGAUUAGCAGAUUAUUACAAAUUAACAUAUUAUUACACUAUAUACUCAAGUCGAACGAAUAAAUAAAUUUGACAGUAUUGAACCAAAACUAAACAAUGUAAAAAGGACUAAAAUAGUGUUUUAGAUUCAUCAAAGAAUCCAAAGAAAGUAAAAAAAUUGAACAAUAACCACAUAACCAAAACAUCAACGUUAACUUAACAUAACUAACACAAUCAACUAUUUCAAAAUUCUAUGGCCUUCACAACCCUCUGCAACAAAUAAUCCCAACAUUCUCACCUAAUUUGAGAUUCCAACAACAACAAUACACUACGACUAAGUCUAGUCAAAAAAUAAGAGUCAAGGCCUACAGACACAAAAAAGAAGAAAGUGCAAAAAAAAAAUGAAGUCUUUACCUUUUUCAGAGCAGCAACCCGGAAUUUAUCAGCUUCGUCAGAUUUUCUUCGCACCACCAGUGGAAACCGAACUCGAUUUCUCAUCGUAUAAUUUCAAGCUCAAAUGAGUAUUAUCGAAUUUCUUAGCACCAAAAUUUUCCUCGAUAGCAAAAUCCAAUGCUUUUCGAGAUUCCUGCUACCUCUAACCUUGUUCAAUAAAAACAAUAGAAGUAUAUAUUAAAAAUAAGUUUGGGGAUCGAUUUUAGUCUUUUUAAUGUGGGAAGAGUAAUUUGGGGGACAAUUUAGUUAUUUUUGAAAAGAGGAUAAGGUUUGCCAACGCAGCUUGUAUGAAUCGAUACAAGGAAUUUUAAAUAAUUGAAGAAAAAAUCCUGUAAAAAUGACACCUGGGCAGAUUCUAGAAACCUCCGAAUUUGGGUUCAUACAAAAAUGUGUGAUAAUCACAUGCUUCUUCGAAUUUUAAGGUAUCGUUUGGGUUACACUGGUUGCUGACAUCGUUAGGGUUGUUUGUAUGCCUUGAAUCUGUUGGAAUCAAGUUUUGUCGUUGUUAUUCUGUGAUUACACGAGUUAAGGAAGGAAAAAGGGAAUUAAGUUGGGUCUUGGGGCGGUGUGUUUUGGGCAUGGGGCGGCUGGUUAUUCAAGUGGGCUUCUGAGGUAGGUUAUUGAUUAAUUAAAUAGAGAAAGGUAGAAAUUUGAUCAUUUAUAAAAUAGCCAAAUUAGAUUAAAAAUCUAAUUGAGUUUAUUAACCAAAUUGGUUAUCAAUUGGCCAAUUGCAUAGCAAUUGUGGUUAAUUUGAUUUUAAUUAUGGCAAAUUUACUUAAUCAACAAAAUUGAAUGAAAGCAUGAAAUAAAUUAACGAUCGAUUCAAUCUCAAGUUUCUUGGUUUAAUGAAUCGAACACAUAUUUUUUGAAUAAUUCACUUUUAAGAGCAAAUCAAAUUUGAAACCCAAAAUUUAUCCUAUUUGAAUAAAUUUUCAGGAUGAAUUAAAGCCGAUUUAUUAAGUAACAAAAUUAUACGGUAUUGUAUACAUGAAUACAGAAAUGUAUAAUUAUUACUUAACUAACAAAUAGAACCAAAUGUAUAUUUUAGAAGAUUUAUAACUGGAUGAUAUAAUUAUUUUGAUUUUGUUUAAAGUCGAAGCAACUUGAGAUUAGACCUAGUUGUGGAUGAAAAAAAUCAGGUGUUAACAACUUUUCCAUCCCUUUGGGUAGGGUGAAUUCAAGUAACCCUGGGCAAAGAGAAUUUGACGAUCCUAAUUUUGUCCGACCAUAAGUUCAUUACUUGAAAGAGGUCGGUUUCUGCAUAAGUAUCGAGAAUUAUGGUCGGACCAUGAUAUUAGGUUUCCUACAUAUCCCAGGUUCCAUGAGAAUUCAAUCCACUUGUAGUACGUACCGCUUGAUUUUUAGACACAAUUUUUAAAAAAUUCACAAGCUAUCUCUAAUUUUAAAUUAAAGUAAAAUCAGAAAGUUGGGGAAUAAGAGGAUUAGGGGGAGGUUGGAAUGCAGUUGGGUUUUCAACAUAGAGCCCAGCAUACGUAUCUCCUAAGAUUUAGGAAAUCAAACUGCUUGUAGUUCGACUCAAUCUGUAUAAAAAAAGUCUUUUAGGUUAGACUAUCUUUGGCUUGGGAUGAGUGACAAGUUUUUUGAGCUAUAGAAAAGAGGCUUGUAACCUCUUAACCAUGAAUGUGGAGAUCUUCACAUCAAUAGAUAAGAAUUCACCUGGACAUUAUUUCCAAUGCUUUGAGUGCAUUGUCACUCGCAUUUGAAGGAAAUAAAAGGUUACCUCUAGUAUAAAUUUAGAAAUAUCCCAGAAGUAAAUCUAAAACUAGAAUAUCUCAAAUUCCCACAUUCCUUUAAAUAAGAGUGUCGUUUUAUGAUGUGGCAAUCAUUUUUUAGCUCGUCCAAAGAGUUUGACAUCUUUCUCUAGAUUACAUCCCGAUUUACUGCUAAGAAAAAGUUAUGUGCUGUGCUGCAUCCUUUUUAGAGUCGUCUGCACGUAUGGUUUUGGUUUGAGAUUUUCAUCCUCUCGGAUUAUGUCGGCAAUAUCUCAAAAAAAAAUUAUUAGCAAUAAACAUAAUUCUUAAAAGGGUAUAUUCUUUUACCAUAUCUCCGUGUAAGUUGUUUAUCUAAAAAGUGAAGUCGUCCUUUCAUGUACCUUUUUGAAGGGAAAUAAUAUUUGCAGCAAUGGUCACAAAAACCCUCUUGGUUGAUGAAUAAAAUAGCUCUUUUAUUGAUUGAACAUUUCUUCAAAGUGGGGUGACCCUGUUGGAUACCGAUGAAACUUUGUAUAGAAUGAUCCCUACAACUGCGUAAUCUUAUGCUGAGGUGGCAACCCUUUUGGUCACCCAUAUUGCCUUUUGUAUGUGGAAUGAUAACAUCUUCAGCUAUCAAUAAUGAUAGUUUGAAUGUGACCUCGGGUAAGUCUAGUGCAUCUUUUGUAUUGAUACGACUUAUAGAUAUCCCUUGAAUUGUCAACCUUUGGAUAAUCUUGUGCAUCAUUCGAUGUUGGAUAUGAGGCAACUUAAAUCUAUCCUUUGAGUUGUUAGAUUUUUUGGUAAUCCUUCACAUUAUCCGACCUUAUAUAAGAGAUGACUUACAUAUAUCCCUCGAAUUGCAAGCUCUCGGGUAUUCCUUCACAUCAUCCGACCUUGGAUACAAUAUGACACAUAGAUAUCUCUCAAAUUUCUAGUCUUCGGGUAAUCCUGUGCAUAACCGAUCUUAGAUAUGAUAUGGCUUAUAGAGAACCCUUGGACCUAUUACUUAGGUAAUCUCGCAUAUUCUUCGAUAAGUAUUUAGUUGUGACUUAUGGAUAACCUUUAGACUAUCGAUUUUUGGGUAACCUUGCCUACUAUCCGGUUAGGAUAUUAUUGCGGCUUAUGGAUGACCUAUGGACUAUUAAUUUGAUGGGUAAUUGAUAAUGCCCAAACUACACCUUCAACCUAAAGAUUAUGCGGUUGUUGUCAAAUAUAGUAACCCAACAAAGAUUGGAGUCAAAUCCUAAGAGAAUACAUGUAAUUGCGGCUCUCAACUGAUGUAAUUCAACGGACAGAAUUGGAAAAGUAAAUGGGGGAUUGUAUUGUCAAUAUCAAACAAGUAGCUAAUAUCAACUUUGGUUGUAAUAAGUUGUCGGUGAACACUAGGAUUAUGUUCCCCCUGGCUUCUCAACUCUGUAGGAUUAUCGUGCUUUAUUGAACCAAAUCGAUACCUUACAUGCAGAAUUUGAUAAGUUAUGUACCACCAACCGUCUUUUGGACUAGUUGAUAGAUUUCGCCCUUUAACUUUUGAGUCUUAGCAUGUCACCUUACUAACCCUUAUCCUAGAUCCCCAUUAACUAUUACCUUUUGAGUCUAUAGCCAUUAGAUGACAGCUAACUAUCUUACUUAGAUAAUACCUAAUAACAUAGGUCAUAGUUAAACUUCAAAUUACUGUAAUAAUUAUCUUUUCCUAGUCACUACUCCUCUUUUGGAGUAAGUAGCAAUAAUCUAGGCAGGAUCCUAACAUUUUUAACCGCUAAGAUAGUUGUUAAAGUGAAGAUAAUACAAUACAUGUAUAGGUAUUGGUUCAAAACAGCAUAGCACUUCCCCUACUUCGUCAAUCCGCCAAGGUUUCCACAACUCUAGCUAAGGGUUUCUAGCCUCUCAUGCUUGUGAAGUAAUCAACAACAUUCAUUAUUGAAAGCAUAAGUUGUAAUCACAAUAAGCACAACUAAAAAUCCAAAAUUUCAACUGAAUUAAUCAAUCAUAAUCAAUACAAGAGAAUUCCAAGACCAAAAUCUAAUCUUAGAAUCAAAAUAUGUUUGUAAGUAUUAAGUGUGCGUCACUUCUACUACAAAACGCAUAAAGGGUAUUUAUAGUACAUGAGAAAAACCUAAAAAUCAAAGCCCAAACCAAAAAGGAUAAAAUAGGUCGGUGGCCACUUACCUAUGUCCACAUGCGGUCUGCCAGUGGGCGCAUGUACUAUAUUCAGUCCACAUGUAGACCCAGGUAAGUGCCAAAUGAAUUUCUUGCUCUAUUUAUUCUCGAGAUUUUGGACUUCUGGUACUUACUUUACCCACAUGCGGUCUGCAUGUGCCACAUAUGGUUCACAUGUAAACAUAGGUAAGUGCCAGAAGUUCUUCUUCGGCUUUUUCACUCUCUAGAUCUUUAAUUUUGGUACUUACCUUAGUCACAUAUGGACCACAAGUGCUGCAUGUGGUCCACAUGUAGACAUAGGUAAGUGUCAAGCCUUCCAAUUCUUGCAAUCAAGCUUCCAAACUUUAAGUUUCAGCAUAUGUUUUUGUCAUGUACAUCCGAUAAAUGUUACAAAUGCCAAAAAAAUGAUCAUGGAAGUAGACAAAAACUCCAUUUUCAUCUUUUUCUUGAUUUUAGUAUACAAAACCUAGUUUUCUGCAAAACAUACCCAAAACACAUCAUAUCUAACAAAAUAACCUCUAAGAAACUUACAUAUUUUCAUUGUUUUAAGCAUCGAAAGUGCUAUAUUUCUAUACCACAUCGACACCCUCAACUUAGAAUGUUUGCAUGUACUCAGGCAACACAACACAACACACCAAAAUAAAACACGACACUUAACUAGGAGAAUCUAAGCUAUCCAAGGCAAUCAAUCAACACUUUAAGUUCAAAACAUAAUACCCUCUCCUAUUUCAACUUUUCAAAAACCAAUUGCGUAUAAACAUAAAGCACAACAAUGUGACACAAUGGGAUCAAGGCGUGGCAUUACAUUACAACAGAUAAUAAUGCAUGUAUAUACAAGUUACACUACCUAAAAUAAGUAAGCGGCUUGCAAUAUGACUCAUGUGCGCUCACAACAAAGGAGUCCCACUCACUCAUAUGAAAUAAUGCAUGUCAAUGAAGGGACAGUUAAGAGAUACUCACACUCAAAAGAGAAGUUCUAAUCAAUGUGAAUUAAAUACCAUAGGCUUUCCCUUGUUUUCUUUACCUUAAAAUUUAGAUAGUCAAGUUAGGAUCACUAUAGGACUUUUCUCAGCUUGUAAUAUAGGCUUGGGGGGCUGGUAUGGUAUGGAUAUCAAGUGACUAAGCCUCUUUGGAACUACAUUAACUUUGGGGUCCACUAAUUAACCAUCUUUUUUUCUAUUCCACCCUUAUUUCUCCAUUUUUAUUCUUUAUUGCACAUUCAGGUUGGGUGUGGUCUUUUUUCUUUCAUUUUUACUUUUUCAUAAUUUUUCUUUUUUCUUUUUUUUUUCUACCACACCUAGUCCUACUAACUUUUUCUCUCAUUUUACCCUUCUACACACCCACUUUAUAUCACACACCCUUAUGAUAACCACCUUCAACUUAGGCGAUUUGCUCAAGUUGAGGUGAACAUUGUCGAAGGAGGAAGGGGACAAAAUAGGUUAUUGCAACACAAAUAGAAAGGUGAAAGGUGAAACAAAAAAAUAAGCUAUAAGGCUCAAACUUAGGUAUCAAGGGAUACAAUUUACACAAAAAAGUGGACUAACAUAAAAAGCGGCUAGUGAUCCUUGCCUAACCAACUAUUCUUUAACUAGGCAAGACUAACCGGGCAAGUUCUAUUUUUAACACACAACGGGAACUUAAGUAGUAUCUCACACACGCAUGACAUAGAGUCAAUAUUACAAACUAUUACUUAUCUGAUUCAUGCAACUGUUAAGAAGUGAUUAUCAUGUUCCCAAUCCUAAUGCCAUAAUAAGAUCCACAAUAUUCACACAUAUAUACAUUGACACAAUUCUAAAAUUUUGACGGGGUAUCAUUUUUCUCAAAAAUCAAUCAAAAACAUGACAACUACCCUAAAUACUGAAAAUCUCCUAAUUACACAAAAACACAACACAAUACAAAAUGAAACACAAUACGAUACAAAUUUUAUCCUAGACAUGCUAAUUCUACUAUCACAUCACGGCGACAAGAAAAUAAGUAUGGCAACAAAAACUAGUUGCCGUUAUGGUAUAGCCCACCCCAACUAAGAGACUACACAUUGUCCCUAAUGCGUUAAAAUAAUAUAAAACAAAGGGAAUGAGGACAUAACCAGGAUGCAUUAAGCGUCCUACACCUUGGGUUACCUCUCAAGUAGUGGCUGAUUUAUUUUUGCGGCAUGACUCAAUUGCCUUGGCUACUCAAACUUCACUAAGGUCUAUAUCAACACAAACUUUUACUUCCUCCUAGUUCCCAUCUAGUGCUUCACUCACUGCAUAUUCACCUUGGACAGGAUUUCACCUUCACGCUUUAUUUCUAUACCACCAUGUGGGAAUACCCUAACCACAGUGAAUGGUAUAGUCCACCUAGAUUUCAACUUGCUUAGAAAUAAGUAGAGUCUUAAAUUAUAUAAGAAGAUCAAAUCACCGGGUUUAAAUACCCUUUUCUCAAUUUUUCUAUCAUGAUACAACUUCAUUCUUUCUUUGUAUAUGGCCGAGUUCUCAUAAGCAUGGAGUUGUAAUUCAUCUAACUAAUUUACCUUUCUCAACCUCAAGUUUGCUGUAUCACGCCACUCAAAAUUUAGCUUUUUCAACGCCUAUAGUGCCUUAUGCUCAAGCUCAACUGCUAACUGGCAUGCUUUGACAUAUACAAGCUGAUAUAUAAAGGCACCUAUGGGGGUAUUAUAGGUUGUUCGAUAGGCCCAUAAUGCAUUGUCUAAUUUUCUAGACCAUUUAGUCCUGCUGGCAUUCACAGAUUUUGCUAAUAUGGACUAUAUCUCUCCAUUGGAGACCUCAACUUGCUCGCUUGUCUGAGGAUAGUAAAGCGUUGCCCCCUUAUGCCUUACACUAUAUCUAUUAAGCAUGACUUUAAAUAAGCGGUUGGAAAAAUGAGACUCACCAUCACUGAUAAUUGCAUGUGGAGUGCCAAAUUGAGAAAAGAUAUUUUUCUUCAAAAAAGUGGUGAAAGUUCUACCUUUAUUGUCUAGAAGCGCAAUUACCUCCACCAUUUUGACACAUAGUCAACUGCUACCAGAAUAUAUCUCAUGCCAUAGAAGCUCACGAAUGGCCCCAUGAAAUCAAUCCCCCACACAUCAAACAACUCCAGCACCAGAAUAGGUAUCAUGAGAGCUUAUGAUGCCAUAAAAUAUUGCCUUGAUGCUGACAUUGUCAUAGGAUUACGCAAAUCAUAAGAAUCUUUAUAAAUUGUAGGCCAGUAAAAUCCCCACUGCAAAAUUUUAUGGGCUGUGUGAGUACCAGUAUGGUAACCCUCAACUGGGGAUGAAUGACAUGCUUCCAGAAUGCUCAUUAUCUCCAUCUCUGGGAUACAUCUAUAAAUUACACCAUCAGCAUAAAUCCUAAAUAGAUACGACUCAUCACAAAAGAACUUCCUCACCUCAUGCAUAAAUCUACUUCGCUGCUGGAAGGAUAGAUCUUCUGGGACAAAGUCGAUUGCCAAAUAGUUGGCAAAAUUAACAAGUAGGGGAAUUAAGUCUUGAGAUACCGCUAAGACCCGCUCAUCUGGAAAAGUAUUAUCUAUCUCAAUAUCAUCCCUUAGUUUCUGCAUUGCCUCAUCCUCAAGUCUUGAUAAGUGAUCUGCAGCCUGAUUUUUUAUCCUUUUCUGGUCUAUCACUUCAAAAUCAAACUCUUGCAGCAAGAGAACCCAAUGAAUCAAUCUUGGUUUGGAAUCUUUUCUUGACAUCAAGUACCUCAAGUUUUCAUGAUCAGUGUGAACUAUGACCUUAGUCCCAAUCAGAUAAGACCAAAAUUUUUCUAAGGCCAAAAACACCGCAAGUAAUUCUUGCUCUGUAACUGUAUAAUUUUUUUGUCUGGGGUUUAAAGCCUUGCUGACAUAGUAGAUGGGAUGUAGGAUCUUUUAUAUUCUUUGGCCUAGGACAACACCCAAGACUACUCUACUUGUAUCACACAUAACUUCAAAAGGUACAGACCAGUCAUAAGAUACAAUAAUAGGCGCUGAAAUCAACCACUUUUUUAGGAAUUUAAAAUACAAAUUUCACCUCUUUAUCCAAAAGCUUGCAUAGAGGAUUUUCAAUUUUAGGGAAGUCCUUGAUGAACCUCCUAUAAAAUACUGCAUGGCCCAAAAGCUUCAUAUGUCUCUAACUGACACUGGCGGUGGAAAUUUUUGAAUUACUUUAAUCUUAGCUUUGUAUACUCAAUACUAUGUUUGGAGAUCUUAUGCCCCAGAAUUAUACCUUCUUUCACCAUGAAGUGGUAUUUUUCCCAAUUCAGCACUAAAUUGCACUCUUCACAUCUCUGCAGUGCACUGACCAAAUGGGCCAAAUAAUCAUUGAAUGAGUCCCCAACUACUGAAAAGUCAUCCAUGAAUACUUCAAUCGUGUCCUCUACCAUAUCAAAUAAUAUAGACAUGAUGCAUAUUUGAAAAGUGGUAAGCAUGCUUCAUAACCCGAACGACAUUCUCUUGAAUGCCAAAGUCCCAUAGAGGAAAGUGAAAGUAGUCUUUUCUUGGUCCUCAGAAUCAAUCGUGAUUUGAUUGUAACCCGAGUAUCCGUCAAGAAAACAAUACCAACCCCUGUUUUCUAGUCAAUCCAACAUCUGAUCCAUGAAAGGCAUAGGGAAAUAGUCCUUCUUCUUCCAAAUAUUCAACUUUCUGUAAUCCAUCCAGACUCUCUAACUAGUCACUGGCCUCAUUGGUACUAAUUUAUUUUUUUCAUUGGGAACCACUAUGAUUCCCCCUUUCUUCGAGAUGCAUUAAAUCAGGAUUUCCCACUUGCCGUCUACAAUAGGUAAAACCACUAUAAUAUCUAACCACUUUAUUAUUUCUCUUUUCACCACCUCCUGCAUCGGAGGGUUUAAUCACCUCUAGUUCUCAAUACUGGGAAUGCUAUCCGGCUCAAGCUAUAUCUUAUGUGUUCAUAUACCUGGUGGAAUACCCACAAUGUCUUAAAUGGUCCACCCAAUAUGUAACACCCCAAAAAUGGGUCCCAAGAUAUUUCAUGAUGUCCCGAGAUGUUACAUGGUGCUUAGGACCAUAAGUGAUCCCAAGCUAACCUUUGUACUGGCAUAAUGCUAAGCAACUGAUUUACAUAUGUAUAAAAUGAUUUAAGUUACUUUGAGGAAAUAUAUUCAUGAUGAAAUCUAGAAAAAAAUACAAUACUUCUACAAUUUUGCAUUCUGAUAAAACUAAAGAGUAGAACUAAAAUUACAUGACUGGCUCUGACUGACAUUUGUGGAGCCUCUACUAUACUGACUAUAGAUAGCUGGGACGUGACUCCAACUACCACUAAUCAAUACAUAUGAGUAUGAAAGUAAAGUACAUAAAUAACAUCUAACUGAAGUCCCCAAAGUAGGAGGACUCAUUAUCUGCUGGCUGGAAUCUGCAAUUAUCUGAUCGUGAUAUAUGGAUUACAACUAAACUGGUACCAACAUUAUUAAAUAAUGUAGCACAUUGACAUAUAUGUGGAUUAGUACUUUUGGAAUGUACUGAGCAUAUGGGGGUGAAUGCAUAAGUAAAACAAUAUCUCAAUGUUCGUAUAAACUUGUAAAAUAAUGUAUGCUAAGUAUAAAUGACUCACAUUGGCUGGAAUAACUGAAAGCUGAAAAUCAUGAAUCAUGAAUGAUAAAACAUACUAUAAAAAUCUUGUAAGUCAUAACACUUAGUUCUAAAAGUUGUACUUUUACUCUUUCUACUAGUGGACUAAGUAGAAUUGAAGUUAAGUCUGUUUUCAAAUCAUACAGGCUAAGUGAAAAAGGACUCACCUUUGUAUCUGUAAACUAAAAGUUGAAACCUCAUAGCUAAUGACUUGUGUAAAACAAUACAACAACAAACCUAGUGUAUUCUCACAAAGUGAGGUCUGGGGAAGGUAAAAUGUAUGCAGUCCAUACCGCUACCUCUGAAGAAGUAGAGAGGUUGUUCCUAAUAGACCCUUGGCUCAGGAUAGAGAAUAGUACACAAGGUCAUAGUAAAACAUGAAGCAAGAUAGAUGACAUAUUAGAAAAAAGGAAUAAGAAAUAAUAAAAUAGAUAUCAGAGAAAUAUGAGCAAUACAAAAUACGAAAUAAGAAAUAAGAAAUAGGACACCCACCUUGUAGUAACAUACACUCACAGACCAAAGACACCUACCACACCCGAACUCUCUUGACUAGAGGGUCCUACUUAUGGACAUAGUCCUAGUAUUACUAACCCAGCUACACAAGAGCUCUCCUAAUACUUGUUACAACCCGCAUACUCACACUAGUCUUCUACCCUUAUCCGCGGCCUCUACACCUUCCUAUCUAGGGUCAUGUCCUCAGUAAGCUAUAGUCGAUCCAUGUCAUGUCUAAUCACCUCCAUUCAGUAUUUCUUUCGCUUACCUCUACUCUUUUUAAAGCCAUCUAAAUCUAGCCUCUCACACCUACGAACUGGGGCAUCCGUGCCCUUCCUCAUCACAUACCCAAACCAUCUCAGCCUUCCUUCUCGCAUCUUGUCCUUCACUGAAGACACUCUCAUCUUCUCCCUGAUAGUCUCAUUCCUAACUCUAUGCCCUCUAGUAAGUCUACACAUCCAAUGCAACAUCCUUAUUUCCGGCACCUUCAAUCUUUCAACGUGUGAGUUUUUGACUGGCCAACACUUCACUCUAUAUAGCAUGGCUGGAUGAACGACCACUCUGUAGAAUUUGCCUUUAAGCUUAAGGGGUACCUUUUUAUCACACAGCACUCCUGAGGUGAGCCUUCACUUCAUCCAACCUGCUCUAAUAUAUUUAGAGAAAUCCUCAUUAAUCUUGCCAUUCCCCUGAAUCAUAGACCCAAGAUAUUUAAAACUUCUUUCUUACAAACAUACUGGGAAUCCAACCUCACCACCACUUCAUCUUCUGGACUCGAGUCACUAAACUUGCAUACCAUAUACUCUGUCUUGGACCUACUCAACCUGAACCCCUUAGAUUUAAGGGUUUGCCUCCAAACCUUCAAUUUUUCAUUCACACCCUCCUACGUCUCAUCAAUCAGCACUACAUCAUCCGCAAAUAACAUACACCAAGGCAUCUCACCAUGAAUACUCUGCGCCAACACAUCCAUCACGAGGUGUUCCCUAUACUGUUUCAUCAAUCUCCUCACCAGGUGGAUUGCCUCUAUCAUCGAGCGACCAGGCAUAAAACUAAAACUGAUUCUACGAAAUGGACAUGACCCUCCUUGAUCUCCGCUCAACCACCCUCUCCCAAAUCUUCAUAGUGUGACUCAACAGCUUAAUACCCUUAUAGUUAUUGUAACUCUGAAUAUCAUCCUUAUUUUUAUAUAAUAGAAUCAUUGUACUCUAUCUCUAAGCCUUAGGAAUUCUCGAACUCUUGAAAAUAUCAUUAAACAAAUUAGUCAACCACCUUAAAUCUGCCUUACUAGUAUACUUCCAAAAAUCUACCAGAAUCUCAUCAGGCCCUAUCACCCUACCCCUCCGCAUCUUACGAAUAGCCUCUCCAACCUCCUCAACCUUAAAAUAUCUACAGUAACUGAAAUAACAUAUCUCCUUCGAGAGAUCCAACUCCCCUAACUCAAUGCCCUUGUCCCCUCCUUGUUCAAAAGUCUAUGAAAAUACUCAUGCCACUUCCUUAUGUAAAAUAAUAUUUGCAUAGAAUGAUGAGCCUGUACACUUAGUUUCUAAAGGUUGUUCUGUUAUUCUGUUUUAGGACUUAGGCUUUAGGGAGGUUCUUCUAAUCGACAUACACUAUGUGAACUAUCAUAGUGUCCAACGUCUAGUUACCCUAAGGAAAAAACCUCACGUUGAGGAAAUGUGUCAUACUCUUGUCAAGGAGUAUAACCUGAGCUAAGUGAUCACAAUCUGUAUCUGUAUCCAUAUAUAAAUGGAAUAUAAUAUUAAUUUGUACCUACGUUGGCUUAUAGUUCUGGGGAAGUAGGAUGCGCUAACCCAUACUUCCUGUUCUGUGAUAAAUACUACUCCCAUUAAUCUGUAUGCUUAAUCUAUAGGAAAUCCACUUUAAAACUAGCAUGAGGGUUUACUAUGAAAACCAGUUAUGCAUCUGUUUACUUUAAACAGUAGUCAAAACUUUAAAGUGGAUUCCAUAUCUAAGCUGAGGAUCAAAAUAUCAAAUCUUGUUCAAAAUAUGAGUAUUAACUAAUCAUAGGAUGCUUGAAAGCAUAAUCUUCUUGAAAUAUCGAUAUUCAAACUAAGGCUUAAUAACCCAUGCUUUAAAUUCAUGUCAAAUAAAAAUGAUACUUCAUGCUCAAUAAUCUUCUUGAAAUACUUCAAUAAUUUCAGUCAAGAUAAUGAAAUCAAAAUCACAAUAUGAAUCUUAUGGAUCAAAACAUGAGCAUGCGAAAUCUUAAUGCACUAAAGCCUUUAAAUCUCAUGCUUUCUUUCAUAUAACUUGCAACAUAAUAUCAUGCUUAAAUCUCAACUGAAAAUCUUUAAAUCAAGCAUAAAUAGAGGAAACAAGCAUGCACUUUAACACUUAAAUCAUUUUACAAAUCCAUAAACUCAAAACAAGAUAAAUUGUGUAUGAACCCUAAUUGCAAUAUACGUAAAUUCAACUUUAAAACUAGUUUUGGGCACAAGGAUGAAAGAG